UCUACAUUGUCAAUGGUU
rnacentral:snRNA from 1 species